AUUGAACGCUGGCGGCAGGCCUAACACAUGCAAGUCGAACGAGUGGCGGACGGGUGAGUAAUGUCUGGGAAACUGCCUGAUGGAGGGGGAUAACUACUGGAAACGGUAGCUAAUACCGCAUACCAUCGGAUGUGCCAAGAUGGGAUUAGCUAGUAGGUGGGGGAAAGGCUCACCUGGGCGACGAUCCCUAGCUGGUCUGAGAGGAUGACCAGCCACACGGGAACUGAGACACGUUCCAGACUCCUACGCGAUGCAGCCGUGGGGAAUGUGGCACAAUGGGCGCAAGCCUGAUGCAGCCAUGCCGCGUGUCUGAAGAAGGCCUUCGGGUUGUAAAGUACUUACGGCGGGGAGGCGUUACCCGCAGAAGAAGCACCGGCUAACUCCGUGCCAGCAGCCGCGGUAAUAC
rnacentral:rRNA from 1 species